AGCUAAGCUUAAAACCCAAAGGAGUUGACGGUACCCCAUAUCCCCCUAGAGGAGCCUGUUCUAUAAUCGAUAAUCCACGUUUAACCUCACCAUUUUUAGUUAUUCAGCCUGUAUACCUCCGUCGUCAGCUUACCACGUGAGCGCCAAUUAGUGAGCUUAAUGUUUAUUCACCAACACGUCAGGUCAAGGUGCAGCAAAUGAAAUGGAAAGAGAUGGGCUACACUUUCUAAAUUAGAAGAAACGAAAAACUAUUUAUGAAACCUAGUUAGAAGGCGGAUUUAGCAGUAAAAAGGAAUCAGCACAUCCAUUUUAACCCGGCACUGGGGUGUGUACACACCGCCCGUCACCCUCUUCAAAGCUAUCAGCCUAGUCCUUAACAAACUAAAGCACGACAGAAGAGGCAAGUCGUAACAUGGUAAGUAUACCGGAAGGUGUGCUUGGAAA
rnacentral:rRNA from 1 species